AGUGAACGCUGGCGGUAGGCCUAACACAUGCAAGUCGAACGGCAGCACAGUAAGAGCUUGCUCUUACGGGUGGCGAGUGGCGGACGGGUGAGGAAUACAUCGGAAUCUACUUUUUCGUGGGGGAUAACGUAGGGAAACUUACGCUAAUACCGCAUACGACCUACGGGUGAAAGCAGGGGAUCUUCGGACCUUGCGCGAUUGAAUGAGCCGAUGUCGGAUUAGCUAGUUGGCGGGGUAAAGGCCCACCAAGGCGACGAUCCGUAGCUGGUCUGAGAGGAUGAUCAGCCACACUGGAACUGAGACGGGGUCCAGAGUCCUACGGGAGGCAGCAGUGGGGAAUAUUGGGCAAUGGGCGCAAGCCUGAUCCAGCCAUACCGCGUGGGUGAAGAAGGCCUUCGGGUCGUAAAGCCCUUUUGUUGGGAAAGAAAAGCAGCAGGUUAAUACCCCGCUGUUCUGACGGUACCCAAAGAAUAAGCACCGGCUAACUUCGUG
rnacentral:rRNA from 1 species